GACGAACGCUGGCGGCGUGCUUAACACAUGCAAGUCGAACGGAAAGGCCCUGCUUUUGUGGGGUGCUCGAGUGGCGAACGGGUGAGUAACACGUGAGUAACCUGCCCUUGACUUUGGGAUAACUUCAGGAAACUGGGGCUAAUACCGGAUAGGAGCUCCUGCUGCAUGGGGGGGGUUGGAAAGUUUCGGCGGUUGGGGAUGGACUCGCGGCUUAUGAGCUUGUUGGUGGGGUAGUGGCUUACCAAGGCUUUGACGGGUAGCCGGCCUGGGAGGGUGACCGGCCACAUUGGGCCUGAGAUACGGCCCAGACUCCUACGGGCGGCAGCAGUGGGGAAUAUUGCACAAUGGGCGGAAGCCUGAUGCAGCAACGCCGCGUGCGGGAUGACGGCCUUCGGGUUGUAAACCGCUUUCGCCUGUGACGAAGCGUGAGUGACGGUAAUGGGUAAAGAAGCACCGGCUAACUACGUG
rnacentral:rRNA from 1 species